CCCCGCCCCCCCUCGUCCUCUGAAUCCUCCUCUCUGUCCUUCUCAGUGCCGUCAGGAGCGGACGAGGUUGCCGAAUGUCCAGCAUGUGAUGGAAGGCCUUGCCGGAUGGGGACCCCCGGGGACCAGAGCCCGGAACCACCUCCAACCUGCCAUGGAAGGCCACCCGGACGCCUUCCCUCCUUGGAGGGGCUGCACAUUAAUCCCCUGCUGUGCUGAGCUGUGUUUCCCCAGAUUCAGAUGUUGAAACUCUGGCCCCCAGAACCUCGGAAUGUGACUGUGUUUGGAGAUGGGGCCUUUACAGAGGAGAUUAAGGUAAAAUGAGGCCGAUGGGGUGCGCUCUGAUCCAAUCUGACUGGUGUCCCUAUAAGAAGAGGAGAUCAGGACACAGACCCCGGGAGGACGUGGGGAGACAGCCCUCUGCACUCGGAGGAGAGAGGCCUCACAGGAACCCUGAUCUCAGACUUCCGGCCUCCAGGACUGGGAGGAAACUGACUUCUAUUGUAUAAGCCCCGGGUCUGUGGCACUCUGUUACGGGCGCCCCAGGCCAACUGCACACCCGGCACUCGCUCUGCACCCACCACCCCAAGAGAGGCCAUGAGAUGGCCUCUGGCCUCUGAUGGCCAUGAUCCAUGAGGACCACCCCUGCUUGGUGUCCUUGAAGGCAUCCCGCAGAGUCGGGAUUUGCAGAUGCUUCUAAUUAUGUGAUGUGACCAGACGGCCUAGCCCUGAGCUCUUCUACAACAAGUGAGAGCCAGCCCCCCAUACUCCGGCCCCUCCAGCGAUACGUGCUUUUGCUUAUUCAUUUUUGCCAGCGUGACGCAUGCCCGGCCAUAUCUCACCUCUGAAGAAGCCAGAUGCCCUCCCCAGGCCCCCUUCCGGCAGGUGCACGGCCCCUGCUGCCCAGGGUUCUCUGAGGCCUCCUGGGAGGUCACCCUUGGGGCGGUGACCCAUGCUGAGGUGGGCAGAUUGGCCUGCUCCCUGCUCCCUGAGGCCGUCUCCCGAGAGCCCUCUCCACAGGCCUCUCGCACAAGGACCCCGUCCCAGCCUCUGCUCCCUGGACGCUGACCCGGUGUCUGUGAUUCUCACGUCCCUGACGCCAGCGAAUCUGGACGUUCCCAAGCCUAACAGCUCCUGGAUUUGCUCGGUGGAUCGCCCGGUCACAGCC